rnacentral:rRNA from 1 species
AGAGUUUGAUCCUGGCUCAGGACGAACGCUGGCGGCGUGCUUAACACAUGCAAGUCGAACGGGGUAUGCGAGGAGCUUGCUUUGAGCAUACUUAAGUGGCGGACGGGUGAGUAACGCGUGAGGAUCUGUCCUAUACAGGGGGGACAACAGAUGGAAACGUCUGCUAAUACCGCAUAAGCCUAAGGGUAAAAGGAGAGAUUCGGUAUAGGAGGAACUCGCGUCCUAUCAGCUAGUAGGUGAGGUAACGGCUCACCUAGGCGAAGACGGGUAGCCGGCCUGAGAGGGCGAACGGCCACACUGGAACUGAGAUACGGUCCAGACUCCUACGGGAGGCAGCAGUGGGGAAUAUUGGGCAAUGGGGGAAACCCUGACCCAGCGACGUCGCGUGAGUGAAGAAAUCCCUCGGGAUGUAAGCUCUGUUGUACGGGAAGAGAAGCAGACGGUACCGUACGAGGAAGCCCCGGCAAACUACGUGCCAGCAGCCGCGGUAAUACGUAGGGGGCAGCGUUGUCCCGGAAUUACUGGGCGUAAAGCGCACGCAGGCGGCCAUCAAAGUCGGUUGUAAAAGCAGUGGCUCAACUACUGUAGACGGGCGAAUAAUGAUUAAGUAAGAAGUAUUGUCAGAAGGAACGGAAUUCCCGGUGUUACGGUUGAAAUGCGGUAGAUAUUUGGGAGGGACACCCGUUG